UUCAUGUAGCACAAGUAUCCAGGAG
rnacentral:piRNA from 1 species